AAAUUGAAGAGUUUGAUCAUGGCUCAGAUUGAACGCUGGCGGCAGGCCUAACACAUGCAAGUCGAACGGUAACAGGAAGCAGCUUGCUGCUUCGCUGACGAGUGGCGGACGGGUGAGUAAUGUCUGGGAAACUGCCUGAUGGAGGGGGAUAACUACUGGAAACGGUAGCUAAUACCGCAUAAUGUCGCAAGACCAAAGAGGGGGACCUUCAGGCCUCUUGCCAUCGGAUGUGCCCAGAUGGGAUUAGCUUGUUGGUGGGGUA
rnacentral:rRNA from 1 species